UGAGUAACAAAUGUUGGUUGACAUCAUUAGGAUUUUCCUAAGGGCUUAUUUGUUUCAUCGAAACUUGAGUUUGGGUUGAAGAGAACUUUCGGUUAAAGCAGAGUUCAGAUGGAAACUAUUUCUCUCUCGCUGUUUAUUUUUCCAGCUCUACUGUUUGUAUGGCAAGGUGAGUCAAAAUCAAUUAAGCUAUUUCGGAUAACUUAAGUGUGAGACCUCAUGUAGUCUUAUAUAUAAAAUAUAGGGAUAAUUGCCUAUAUUCCCCUCAAAACUUCGAAAAUAUCUCAUUUGACCCUACUUGUUUUUUCUUUCCAAUAUACCCUUCAUACGUUUCCCCGUAUUCCAAAAUACCCCUAUAGUUAUCACCCGUUAAGUUAACUUGGGUUAAACGUAAAUUAAAUAUCUACCACAAUUAAAAAAAAUUAAAAUGCCAAUUUUGCCUUUAACUUAAGGGCAAAUAAGAAAUGUUGAUGACGGUAGAGGGGUAUAUUUGAAAAGACCAAAAGUCAAAAUAUUUUUUGUGUACCUGACUUAAAGGGCAGAUAAGAAAAGUCGGCGAUGGUGGAAGGGUAUAUUUGAAAGGGCAAAAUAGUAAUUUUAUACAGAUAACAGAGUUCAUUAACAAAUUUUAACUCUAGGAGUAUAUUUGAAAUAGGUUGGAACGUAAAAAGGGUAUUUUCAAUAUUAGCCUUCUAAGAGGAGUAAAUCAGAAAGUAGGAAACUUUUCAAGGGUAUAUAAGUAAUUGCCCCUAAAAUAUAAUAGGGCUAAAACUCUUAAUCCGGCUUAAGCAUGUUGAGUGGCGGCUAGGUCCAAAAUGUUAAGAGAGUUAAGCAUGUUAGGAUGGAAGUAAUUCUAUGAUGGGUGACCCCCUAGAAAGUUGGGGCGUCACAAUUUGUAUCAGAGCCAAUUACUAGCCGAAACUGUGAAAUGAAUCUCAGCUGCACCAGGAUUUUACAGCGGGGAGACUGAGACUCUCAUGCUGUUGACUGUUGUAGGUGGAGCGCAGUUCACCACAAGAUCGGUUUAGGCUAGCGAGACGAGUCUCACAUCGCCGAUACUUGUGAGUUUGAGACUGAUGAUGACGUCAGGGUUUAAAGAGGGGAGAUUGUGAAACCCCAAGUAGUCCUAUAUAUAAGAUAUAAUAACGUUAAAACUCUUAAAGAGCCAAUUACCAGUUGAAAGUGUGAAAAGAAUCUUAGCUACACCAAAAUUAUACAGCGGGGAGAGCGAGACUCUCAUGCUUUGGACUAUUGUGGGUGGAGGGCAGCUCACCACAAAAUCGGUUUAUGCUAGCGAGACGAGUCUCACAUCUCCUGGUACUUGUGAGUUUGAGACUGACGAGGACGUUAGGGCUUAAACGGGAGAGAUUGUGAAACUCCAGGUAGUCCUAUAUAUAAGAUAUAAUAGUGUUAAAACUUUUAAUCCGUCUUAAACAUUUUGGAUGGCAGCUAGGACGGGAGUAGUCCUAGGAUGGGUGGUAGAUAGGACGGGAGUAAUCCUAGAAUGGGUGAUCCCCUAAGAUGUUGGGUCGUCACAUUAUGUUUCGACGGUAUCUUUAUUACAGCAAACCAGGCAGAAGUGGUGAUCGUUUUCAUCCAAAAACAA
rnacentral:lncRNA from 1 species